AGGGAACGCGAAAAUGAAGGUGUUCAUUUUUCUGGUCCUACUGGCCGUCACAACCUCCUUCGUCAGGAAUCAGGAGGAAUUGAAGGAGACAAGCUGCGGAAAGAGGUAGAACCCGCCGUUCUGAAGAAGUCGGGAAAAACCGUCGAGUCUCUGCAGAAGCUCCUGCAGGAUGGCUUCUCCUUGAACACGGCUUGCGGGAAGAGAGAGUGUGCUGGAUGCCAUCAAAGCCCUCAGCAUCACCGGCGAACCAGAGGAAGGCACCGACGAAUACUUAGUUAUGCUUAUUGUCAAAGCGAUUGCCAUCGGAGUAGCCACGGGUAUUGCUGGUGCUGGAGUGAAGCACCUUGUGGAAAGAAACGAAGCUCGAAAGCGCGGUUAAUAAAUGAAAAAGCUUAAAAUACCGAAACGACUGUUUGAAGGUUGUCUUUCUCAAACAUACGCUGAAGCUGCAGGAUGCGCCGAUUACUAUAGAAACAGUAAUUCGAGGAAAAAGCCAAAGAGAA